rnacentral:rRNA from 1 species
CCUACGGGUGGCUGCAGUGGGGAAUAUUGGACAAUGGGCGAAAGCCUGAUCCAGCCAUGCCGCGUGUGUGAAGAAGGCCUUCGGGUUGUAAAGCACUUUCAGUGGGGAAGAAAGCCUUGGGGCUAAUACCCUCGAGGAAGGACAUCACCCACAGAAGAAGCACCGGCUAACUCCGUGCCAGCAGCCGCGGUAAUACGGAGGGUGCGAGCGUUAAUCGGAAUUACUGGGCGUAAAGCGCGCGUAGGCGGUCUGAUAAGCCGGUUGUGAAAGCCCCGGGCUCAACCUGGGAACGGCAUCCGGAACUGUCAGGCUAGAGUGCAGGAGAGGAAGGUAGAAUUCCCGGUGUAGCGGUGAAAUGCGUAGAGAUCGGGAGGAAUACCAGUGGCGAAGGUGGCCUUCUGGACUGACACUGACGCUGAGGUGCGAAAGCGUGGGUAGCAAACAGGAUUAGAUACCCGUGUAGUC